UGAAGCUGCAGAACCAACGAGGUGGCC
rnacentral:piRNA from 4 species